rnacentral:rRNA from 1 species
AACGAACGCUUGCGGCGUGCCUAAGAAAUGCAAGUCGAGCGGGGGCAGCAAUACCCUAGCGGCGAACGGUCGCGUAACACGUAAGCAACCUGCCCCGAAGACCGGGACAACAGCUCGAAAGGGCUGCUAAUACCGGAUGUGGCCAUUGGGGGACAUCCCCUGGUGCUUAAAUCAAGCAAUUGGCUUCGGGAGGGGCUGGCGGCCUAUCAGCUAGUUGGUGGGGUAACGGCCUACCAAGGCGACGACGGGUAGCUGGUCUGAGAGGACGGCCAGCCGGACUGGGACUGAGAUACGGCCCAGACUCCUACGGGGGGCAGCAAUUAGGAAUCUUGCGCAAUGGGCGAAAGCCUGACGCAGCGACGCCGCGUGGAGGAGGAAGUCCUUCGGGAUGUAAACUCCUUUUGCCAGGGAAGAAACAAAUGACGGUACCUGGUGAAUAAGCCCCGGCUAACUACGUGCCAGCAGCCGCAGUAACAC